UACGUAGGGGGCGAGCGUUGUCCGGAUUUAUUGGGCGUAAAGAGCGUGUAGGCGGUUCGGUAGGUCCGUUGUGAAAACUCGAGGCUCAACCUCGAGACGCCGAUGGAAACCCUCGAACUAGAGUCCGGAAGAGGAGAGUGGAAUUCCUGGUGUAGCGGUGAAAUGCGCAGAUAUCAGGAAGAACACCCGUGGCUAAGGCGGCUCUCUAGUACGGUACUGACGCUGAGACGCGAAAAGCGUGGGGAGCGAACAGG
rnacentral:rRNA from 1 species